AUGGGUAACUAUUAUUUUUCAAUGAUACGGGGAUACGGGGAUACGCAGUCAUUAAAAUGACGUAAUUAUUUGAGUAGUUUAAAAGGAGAAUGGGUAACUAUUAUUUUUCAAUGAUACGGGGAUACGCAGUCAUUAAAAUGACGUAUUAAGAGGAGAAUGGGUAACUAUUAUUUUUCAAUGAUACGGGGAUACGGGGAAACGCAGUCAUUAAAAUGACGUAAUUAUUCGAGUAGUUUAAGAAGAGAAUGCAUGGGUAAAUAUUAUUUUUCAAUGAUACGGGGAUACGGGGAUACGCAGUCAUUAAAAUGACGUAAUUAUUCGAGUAGUUUAAAAGGAGAAUGGGUAACUAAUAUUUUUCAAUGAUACGCAGUCAAAUCGUGCUCAUUUGAUAUGCAAAAUUUAUACUAAUGAGUAAUAUUUUGUGCGGGGUUUAUUAUACUAAUGAGUAAUAUUUUGUGCGGGGUUUAUUGAGAACGAGAACUACAAUAUAUGAGUAAUAUUUUGUGCGGGGUUUAUUGAGAACGAGAAAUACAAUAUAUGAGUAAUAUAUUUUUGCGGGUUUAGGGGUCAAAUCGUGCUCAUUUGAUAUGCAAAAUUUAUACUAUUAAAAUGAGUAAUAUUUUGUGCGGGGUUUAUUGAGAACUUGAGAAAUACAAUAUAUGAGUAAUAUUUUGUGCGGGGUUUAGUGAGAACGAGAAAUACAAUAUAUGAGUAAUAUUUUGUGCGGGGUUUAGUUGAGUCGUUGAGAACG
rnacentral:lncRNA from 1 species